CCCUGGGUGGCGCAAACGGGUAAAGCACUUGGCUGCUAACCAAAAGAUUGGUGGUUCAAGUCCACCCAGAGGUA
rnacentral:tRNA from 1 species